UACGUAGGGUCGCAAGCGUUGUUCGGAAUUACUGGGCGUAAAGCGUACGUAGGCGGUUAUUCAAGUCAGAGGUGAAAGCCCGGGGCUCAACCCCGGAACGGCCUUUGAAACUAGGUAGCUAGAGUCUUGGAGAGGUUAGUGGAAUUCCGAGUGUAGAGGUGAAAUUCGUAGAUAUUCGGAAGAACACCAGUGGCGAAGGCGACUAACUGGACAAGUACUGACGCUGAGGUACGAAAGCGUGGGGAGCAAACAGG
rnacentral:rRNA from 1 species